rnacentral:rRNA from 1 species
UUGACCGUCGGAUCAGGUAGGUGAUACCCGCUGACUUAAGCAUAUC